UACGGAGGUGGCAAGCGUUGUUCGGAAUUACUGGGCGUAAAGGGCGCGUAGGCGGCCUUCUAAGUCAGACGUGAAAUCCCCCGGCUUAACCUGGGAACUGCGUCUGAUACUGGGAGGCUUGAGUAUAGGAGAGGGAUGUAGAAUUCCAGGUGUAGCGGUGAAAUGCGUAGAUAUCUGGAGGAAUACCGGUGGCGAAGGCGGCAUCCUGGACCGGCAUUGACGCUGAGGAGCGAAAGCUAGGGGAGCAAACGGG
rnacentral:rRNA from 1 species